rnacentral:rRNA from 1 species
GACGAACGCUGGCGGCGUGCUUGACACAUGCAAGUCGAACUAUGAACCCGGAGCUUGCUCCGGUGGAUUAGUGGCGAACGGGUGAGUAACACGUGAGUAACCUGCCCUUGACUCUGGGAUAACUGCGGGAAACUGUAGCUAAUACCGGAUACGACCCUCGGCGGCAUCGCCAGGGGGUGGAAAGAAUUUCGGUCAAGGAUGGACUCGCGGCCUAUCAGCUAGUUGGUGAGGUAACGGCUCACCAAGGCGACGACGGGUAGCCGGCCUGAGAGGGUGACCGGCCACACGGGGACUGAGACACGGCCCAGACUCCUACGGGAGGCAGCAGUGGGGAAUAUUGCACAAUGGGCGCAAGCCUGAUGCAGCAACGCCGCGUGAGGGAUGACGGCCUUCGGGUUGUAAACCUCUUUUAGUAGGGAAGAAGCGAAAGUGACGGUACCUGCAGAAAAAGCACCGGCUAACUACGUGCCAGCCGCCGCAGUAA